CCUACGGGAGGCAGCAGUGGGGAAUAUUGCACAAUGGGCGAAAGCCUGAUGCAGCAACGCCGCGUGAAGGAAGAAGGCCUUCGGGUCGUAAACUUCUGUCCUUGGGGAAGAAGAACGGACGGUACCCAAGGAGGAAGCCCCGGCUAACUACGUGCCAGCAGCCGCGGUAAUACGUAGGGGGCAAGCGUUAUCCGGAAUUAUUGGGCGAAAAGAGUACGUAGGUGGCAACCUAAGCGCAGGGUUAAAGGCAAGGGUUCAACCAUUGUGCGCCCUGCGAACUGGGAUGCUUGAGUGCAGGAGAGGAAAGCGGAAUUCCUAGUGUAGCGGUGAAAGGCGUAGAUAUUAGGAGGAACACCAGGGGCGAAGGCGGCUUUCUGGACUGUAACUGACACUGAGGUACGAAAGCGUGGGGAGCAAACAGGAUUAGAUACCCGGGUAGUC
rnacentral:rRNA from 1 species